UACGUAGGGGGCGAGCGUUGUCCGGAAUCAUUGGGCGUAAAGCGCGUGUAGGCGGCCCGGUAAGUCCGCUGUGAAAGUCCAGGGCUCAACCCUGGGAUGCCGGUGGAUACUGUCGGGCUCGAGUCCGGAAGAGGCGAGUGGAAUUCCUGGUGUAGCGGUGAAAUGCGCAGAUAUCAGGAAGAACACCCGUGGCGAAGGCGGUUCUCUGGGACGGUACUGACGCUGAGACGCGAAAGCGUGGGGAGCGAACAGG
rnacentral:rRNA from 1 species